rnacentral:rRNA from 1 species
AGACUCCUACGGGAGGCAGCAGUAGGGAAUUUUCGGCAAUGGGGGAAACCCUGACCGAGCAACGCCGCGUGAAGGAAGAAGUAAUUCGUUAUGUAAACUUCUGUCAUAGAGGAAGAACGGUGGAUAUAGGGAAUGAUAUCCAAGUGACGGUACUCUAUAAGAAAGCCACGGCUAACUACGUGCCAGCAGCCGCGGUAAUACGUAGGUGGCGAGCGUUAUCCGGAAUUAUUGGGCGUAAAGAGGGAGCAGGCGGCACUAAGGGUCUGUGGUGAAAGAUCGAAGCUUAACUUCGGUAAGCCAUGGAAACCGUAGAGCUAGAGUGUGUGAGAGGAUCGUGGAAUUCCAUGUGUAGCGGUGAAAUGCGUAGAUAUAUGGAGGAACACCAGUGGCGAAGGCGACGAUCUGGCGCAUAACUGACGCUCAGUCCCGAAAGCGUGGGGAGCAAAUAGGAUUAGAUACCCUAGUAGUCCACGCCGUAAACGAUGAGUACUAAGUGUUGGGUGUCAAACCUCAGUGCUGCAGUUAACGCAAUAAGUACUCCGCCUGAGUAGUACGUUCGCAAGAAUGAAACUCAAAGGAAUUGACGGGGGCCCGCACAAGCGGUGGAGCAUGUGGUUUAAUUCGAAGCAACGCGAAGAACCUUACCAGGUCUUGACAUCGAUCUAAAGGCUCCAGAGAUGGAGAGAUAGCUAUAGAGAAGACAGGUGGUGCAUGGUUGUCGUCAGCUCGUGUCGUGAGAUGUUGGGUUAAGUCCCGCAACGAGCGCAACCCCUGUUGCCAGUUGCCAGCAUUAAGUUGGGGACUCUGGCGAGACUGCCGGUGACAAGCCGGAGGAAGGCGGGGAUGACGUCAAAUCAUCAUGCCCCUUAUGACCUGGGCUACACACGUGCUACAAUGGACAGAGCAGAGGGAAGCGAAGCCGCGAGGUGGAGCGAAACCCAUAAAACUGUUCUCAGUUCGGACUGCAGUCUGCAACUCGACUGCACGAAGAUGGAAUCGCUAGUAAUCGCGAAUCAGCAUGUCGCGGUGAAUACGUUCUCGGGCCUUGCACUCACCGCCCGUCA